rnacentral:rRNA from 1 species
AUUGAACGCUGGCGGCAGGCCUAACACAUGCAAGUCGAACGAGUGGCGGACGGGUGUGUAAUGUCUGGGAAACUGCCUGAUGGAGGGGGAUAACUACUGGAAACGGUAGCUAAUACCGCAUACCAUCAGAUGUGCCCAGAUGUGCUUAGCUUGUUGGUGGGGUAACGGCUCACCAAGGCGAAGAUCCCUAGCUGUUCUGAGAGGAUGACCGGCCACACUGGAACUGAGACACGGCCCAGACGCUUACGGAGGGCAGAAGUGGGGAAUAUUGCACAAUGGGCGAAAGCCUGAUGCAGCAAUGCGGCGUGUAUGAAGAAGGCCUCCGGGUUGUAAAGUACUUUCAGCGGGGAGGCGUUACCCGCAGAAGAAGCACCGGCUAACUCCGUGCCAGCAGCCGCGGUAAUUC